rnacentral:lncRNA from 1 species
AUGUACCUUGAAAAGCCUCUACACAUGACUCCUGGACAUUCAGCUUGUGCACUAAAUGCUGACAAGUGUUGCACAUGCAACACAAAUGCCAUGGCUCUGACACUUUUUAAUAAGGCAGUCCAGCCAAGUAGACCUAGUUUGGAAGAAGCAAGUGCUGCAAUACAUAGUUCUCAGCACCUUUACUUUGUUCUUGGUGUUUGCUUCCUGCCAUUCAAAUGCUCUCAUUUGGCUCACCCAGGAGAGGACCAGACAACGGGAGGGAAAGUGGAAGGAAGGAGUAUGUGGUCAAGAGUGAAGAAAGACUUUAAGGGAACUGGAACUUUCUUCAGGGACUAUCUAACCCUAUCCUGUGAUAAACAGCUGUACCUCAACAACAGAGGGAUUCCUUUGAGCUGUCAAACCGAUUAUUAUCAGUUCAAUGAAAACACCCUACUGAAGUGACUACAUGGCUUCUAACGCUCCAAAUUCCUUAUUUAGAGUUACCUAAAGUGUGUUGAAUAGGAUAGGACUUAAGAUCUUGUUCUGUGUGUUUGCUCCUUCUGCUGCAGACACAUAGUACAGAAGCAUUCUCAGCUUCAGCAAGAUUCUGUGAGAGGUUUCAGUACACAUUUAUCAGACAGUGGAAGUCUGACAGAGCACAGUACAAGCAAUUGGACUAAAAUACAACUCUCAGAAGAGGUUGCUCUACAGACCAGCUUGUCUCUGAAUCAAACCUAGAUGUUUUCCCUGUGUGUAAUGGCACUGUGUGUAUUCAGUAUAAAAGCUUAAAAUAUCUGCCAAACAUAAAUGAUAUCUGGAGAUGUGUCAGACAGGAUGCUUGACCAGAUCUGGUCAGAAACCAAAAGAAGAACACAAGGAUCCAAUCAUCAGAACUAACACAGACUUCUUUAGUUUUAAAAUACAUAUAAAAAAAUGUUUACCAGUUUCAUUGGAGCUAGACUAGCAGCUGUAAGUUACUGUUUCAUGUAAGAUUAAACGGCAUCUUUCUAGUAAAGAGAAAACACAGUUUGUUUUAGUACAAGCACUGUAAACACAGUCCACUAAUAGCAGAGAAUUCUUCACUGAUUGUGGACAUGAUUUCUUAAUCUGAGAGAAUUUCAAGCUCUCAGGGACUGGCUGUUCCCAAGGGUAAGUCUUGGGAACCUUCUCUCACUCAAGGAUUAUUUGUGUAAAUAAGGAAUUACUCUCCCAAAACAAGACACAGAUGUUCUGAGAGUGUUGUCUCUCUUGUCCCACCAAUGGGAUGAGGGAGGUGUUGUUCAUUCUACCAGUCAGGAUUACCUGACCAGAAUGGCUUAUAAAAGGGUUGACAAGACCCCACAAUAAAGGUUUUUUUCACCUCA